GACGAACGCUGGCGGCGUGCUUAACACAUGCAAGUCGAACGGUAAGGCCCUUCGGGGUACACGAGUGGCGAACGGGUGAGUAACACGUGAGUAACCUGCCCCAAACUCUGGGAUAACAGUCGGAAACGGCUGCUAAUACCGGAUAUGAGCUUCCCCUGCAUGGGGGUUGUUGGAAAGCUCCGGCGGUUUGGGAUGGGCUCGCGGCCUAUCAGCUUGUUGGUGAGGUAGUGGCUCACCAAGGCUUCGACGGGUAGCCGGCCUGAGAGGGCGACCGGCCACAUUGGGACUGAGAUACGGCCCAAACUCCUACGGGAGGCAGCAGUGGGGAAUAUUGCACAAUGGGCGGAAGCCUGAUGCAGCAACGCCGCGUGCGGGAUGACGGCCUUCGGGUUGUAAACCGCUUUCAGCGCAGACGAAGCGAAAGUGACGGUAUGCGCAGAAGAAGCACCGGCCAACUACGUG
rnacentral:rRNA from 1 species